GAUGAACGCUGGCGGCGUGCCUAACACAUGCAAGUCGAGCGAACGGACGAGAAGCUUGCUUCUUUGAUGUUAGCGGCGGACGGGUGAGUAACACGUGGAUAACCUACCUAUCAGACUGGGAUAACUUCGGGAAACCGGAGCUAAUACCGGAUAAUAUUUUGAACCGCAUGGUUCAAAAGUAAAAGACGGUCUUGCUGUAUCUUAUAGCUGGAUCCGCGCUGCAUUAGCUAGUUGGUAAGGUAACGGCUUACCAAGGCAACGAGGCAUAGCCGACCUGAGAGGGUGAUCGGCCACACUGGAACUGAGACACGGUCCAGACUCCUACGGGAGGCAGCAGUAGGGAAUCUUCCGCAAUGGGCGAAAGCCUGACGGAGCAACGCCGCGUGAGUGAUGAAGGUCUUCGGAUCGUAAAACUCUGUUAUUAGGGAAGAACAUAUGUGUAAGUAACUGUGCACAUCUUGACGGUACCUAGUCAGAAAGCCACGGCUAACUACGUG
rnacentral:rRNA from 1 species